AAAUCCCUGCACCGGUUCUGGUGUCGUAUUUGGAAGAACCAACACUAUUAUAUUGGGAGUUUGACUCUAUACGCCUAUUGCAAACCUUCCUCGUUAGAAGGCAGCAUGAAUCGUUUAGGCAGGCACCCACUGUGUAAAAUUGGAAGGUUCUUCUCAAAUCCGCUGGAACUCUGCAGGGUUUUU
rnacentral:other from 1 species